rnacentral:rRNA from 1 species
GACGAACGCUGGCGGCGUGCUUAACACAUGCAAGUCGAACGAUGAAGCCCAGCUUGCUGGGUGGAUUAGUGGCGAACGGGUGAGUAACACGUGAGUAACCUGCCCUGGACUCUGGGAUAACCCCGAGAAAUCGGAGCUAAUACCGGAUAGGACCUUCUCCCGCAUGGGGGUUGGUGGAAAGUUUUUCGGUCUGGGAUGGACUCGCGGCCUAUCAGCUUGUUGGUGAGGUAAUGGCUCACCAAGGCGUCGACGGGUAGCCGGCCUGAGAGGGUGACCGGCCACACUGGGACUGAGACACGGCCCAGACUCCUACGGGAGGCAGCAGUGGGGAAUAUUGCACAAUGGGCGCAAGCCUGAUGCAGCAACGCCGCGUGCGGGAUGACGGCCUUCGGGUUGUAAACCGCUUUUGACAGGGAAGAAGCCUUUCGGGGUGACGGUACCUGGAGAAAAAGGACCGGCUAACUACGUGCCAGCCGCCGCCGUAAGAC